rnacentral:rRNA from 1 species
ACGGAAUCCUUCGGGAUUUAGUGGCGGAAGGGUUAGUAAUACAUGGGUAACCUACCUUUAACAUUGGGAUAACGGUUGGAAACGAUCGCUAAUACCGAAUGUGGUGAGUUGAAGACAUCUUUAAUUUAUUAAAGUGGGGGAUCGUAAGACCUCGCGGUUAAAGAGGGGCCCAUGCGAUAUCAGCUAGUUGGUGAGGUAAGAGCUCACCAAGG